rnacentral:rRNA from 1 species
CCUACGGGCGGCAGCAGUGAGGAAUAUUGGUCAAUGGACGAGAGUCUGAACCAGCCAAGUAGCGUGAAGGAUCACUGCCCUAUGGGUUGUAAACUUCUUUUAUAUGGGAAUAAAAUGUUCCACGUGUGGGAUUUUGUAUGUACCAUAUGAAUAAGGAUCGGCUAACUCCGUGCCAGCAGCCGCGGUAAUACGGAGGAUCCGAGCGUUAUCCGGAUUUAUUGGGUUUAAAGGGAGCGUAGGUGGAUUGUUAAGUCAGUUGUGAAAGUUUGCGGCUCAACCGUAAAAUUGCAGUUGAAACUGGCAGUCUUGAGUACAGUAGAGGUGGGCGGAAUUCGUGGUGUAGCGGUGAAAUGCUUAGAUAUCACGAAGAACUCCGAUUGCGAAGGCAGUUCACUGGACUGCAACUGACACUGAGGCUCGAAAGUGUGGGUAUCAAACAGGAUUAGAUACCCUUGUAGUC